CCUAGAGCCCGGCCAAAGGCGCCACCAGCAGGCUUUGCCAAGAUUCAUGUUGACGCCGGUAUGGCGCGUUUCAAUAGGGGUGGUUUAGCAGCAGCUAUAUGUAGAGAUGGUGAAGGAAACUACUUGGGCAUCGCAGCAUUGGUGAUCCCAGGGGUCGUGGAUGCAGCAACACUGGAAGCUAUUGCGUGUCGGGAGGCGCUGUCUUUGGCUGAAGACUUGCACAUUUGA
rnacentral:rRNA from 1 species